UACAUUGAUAAUAUAUUGUCCUUUAAAAACACUUUUAAAAAGGUUAAGAAAAAAGGUUAGGAAAAUUUUUGACAAAUCCUGUUAAUCACAUAGGAAAAAGAAUCGACGAUUUCUUACGAUUCACUUAUGACACAUUAACCAUCGAGGACACAAAGAAAAUUAAAGAUCGACGACAACCACGUGAACGGAUCAUGGCUUUGUUCUUACCGCGAACAAAGAGACAUUUUAAUGAGCACGCGGCUAAAGCAUCGGGUUAAUCGAAUGUUUGUGGGUAAACCAAAAGAUCGACUCGCAUUGCGCGCGCAGCAUAAUAAUGGCCGCCGAAAAUCAUGCGAGGGAAAGGCGGAAACCUUGGUCGAUUCUUCUAUGGGGAAAAGUGUGCAUAAACGGAAUAACGACAAUACUUUGAAUAUUUAAGAGAACAAAAGGGAAUAGAUAAUCAGACACAUCACUCCUCGGAUAAAACAUGAACACUAAACAUUCUCUAUCGGGAAUAAAAGAAGAUACAAUGGGUAAGAAAGUACCAGGAAACAAGAUUAUGUCUCCGUGACUUUGCUGCCGAUUGAAUACUUACUGAUUCCCGCGCAUCACGUUCCAUCGACAAAUCGAAAGCUUUGAGUUCUGAGAAUAGUUUGAUGUGCUUAUAACAGAUAAUCCUUUGAACGAAGUUGUAUUUUACUGUUUUAUGGCUUCUUUUGAAAGGAAUUUUAACUGUUAAUUAUAAUGAUUCGAGUUACUGAUAAAGAGUAUCAAAAAAGAGUAAUAUAAAAUUUUUUAUUUAAAUAAUUUUUUAAAAUGAAAAGAUUAAAAAAAUUAAAUGCAAAUAUAUAACAGAUAAAUAGAUACUUUAUUUCUAACAAUUUAGUAUAAAAAUCACUUAUAAGUUAAUGUGAUCACGAAUAAAUAAAUAUAUACAAAAACAAAUAAA